AACAUACUUAACAUUAUAACGUUACGCUUAUACAAGACGGCUCUGUACUGACAUUUUUUUUGAAAGGAAGUAUUUUGUAAGUUAGGCUAAUAUUUAGCAAUAUCACAGUAUCACUUUGUUGGGUUACAUAUUCAUGAAGCACAUAUCGAUUCAGAGAGGGUCAGCGCUACCACUUCUGAUCCAAUGCACAACAUGUUGCAGAAAUUUUCACUGCCCAUUUUGUGAUGCCAGCAUCUUUAAACCAACAAGACGGAAUAAAUUGACCAGUCAUAUGAAAAUUCACUUCAAAAAGGCUGUUGUUCAUGGAGAUUUCACAUUUCACAGAUGUGGUUUGGGCUGCAGACAAUCUUUUCAUUUCCACUGUCUCUACUGUACAGCCACAAUUCUGAGAAAAUUAGAUUUUCAUAAUCAUUUAGAAGUAUGUAAAGGGAAGCCGCUGUCCACCAGCACUGUUCAUACUACUGGGACCCCAUCAGCAACCAGCACUGUUCAU